rnacentral:rRNA from 1 species
GGUCAAGUUAUUAAGGGUGCAGGGCGGAUGCCUUGGCACUAGGAGCCGAUGAAGGACGUGAUAAGCUGCGAUAAGCUUCGGGGAGUUGCACGUAAACUUUGAUCCGAAGAUUUCCGAAUGAGGAAACUCACUUAGAGUAAUGUCUAAGUAUCAUUAAGUGAAUACAUAGCUUAAUGAGGGGAACUCAGGGAACUGAAACAUCUAAGUACCUGAAGGAAGAGAAAGAAAUUCGAUUCCGUAAGUAGCGGCGAGCGAACGCGGAUUAGCCCAAACCAAUAAAGUUUUCUUUAUUGGGGUUGCGGACAUAUCAUAACGAAGAGGUAUCGUAAUUGAAGAGGUUUGGAAAGACCCACCACAGAAGGUAAUAGUCCUGUAUGUUAAACGAGAAGACUUCAGAUAUGAUCCAGAGUACCACGGGACACGUGAAACCCUGUGGGAAGCAGGAGGGACCACCCUCCAAGGCUAAAUACUACCUAGUGACCGAUAGCGUAUAGUACCGUGAGGGAAAGGUGAAAAGAACCCCGGGAGGAGAGUGAAAUAGAACCUGAAACCCUGCACUUACAAGCUGUGGAAGCACAUUUCUUGUGUGACCGCGUACUUUUUGUAGAACGGGCCAACGAGUUACGUUAAGUAGCAAGGUUAAGCACUUAAGGUGUGGAGCCGUAGCGAAAGCGAGUUUUAACUGAGCGUUCAGUUACUUGACGUAGACCCGAAACCGGGCGACCUACCCAUGAGCAGGAUGAAGCGAAAGUAAAAUUUCGUGGAGGUCCGAACCCACGAGCGUUGAAAAGCUCGGGGAUGACUUGUGGGUAGCGGUGAAAUUCCAAUCGAGCCCGGAGAUAGCUGGUUCUCCCCGAAAUAGCUUUAGGGCUAGCCUCAAGGUGAGAGAUACGGAGGUAGAGCACUGAAUGUCCUAGGGGGUAUUGCACCUACCGAAGACUAUCAAACUCCGAAUGCCGUCAUCUUAUACUUGGGAGUCAGACUGUGGGUGAUAAGAUUCAUAGUCGAAAGGGCAACAGCCCAGAUCGUCAGCUAAGGUCCCUAAAUGUAAGUUAAGUGGUAAAGGAUGUGGGAUUGCACAGACAACCAGGAUGUUGGCUUAGAAGCAGCCACUCAUUCAAAGAGUGCGUAAUAGCUCACUGGUCGAGUGAUCCUGCGCCGAAGAUUUCCGGGGCUAAAACUUACUACCGAAGCUACGGCAUCAGUAAUGAUGGGUAGGGGAGCUUCCCAUACGGGUUGAAGCAUGACCGUAAGGACAUGUGGACAGUAUGGGAGUGAGAAUGUUGGCAUGAGUAGCGAGAUGUGGGUGAGAAUCCCACAGGCCGUAAACCCAAGGUUUCCAGGGGAAGGUUCGUCCGCCCUGGGUUAGUCGGGACCUAAGCUGAGGCCGAAAGGCGUAGGUGAUGGACAACAGGUUGAUAUUCCUGUACUACCGAUAACCGUUUGAGAGAAGGGAUGACACAGUAGGAUAAGCUAAGCACACUGUUGGUUAUGUGUGCCCAAGCAUUGAGGCAGUCAAAGUAGGCAAAUCCGCUUUGAUAAUGCUGGGAUGUGAUGGGGAGCGAAAUUUAGUAGCGAAGUAGCUGAUUUCACACUGUCAAGAAAAGUCUCUAUCGAGGUUAAAGGUACCCGUACCGCAAACCGACACAGGUGGGUGAGGAGAGUAUCCUAAGGCCAGCGAGAGAACUGUUGUUAAGGAACUCGGCAAAAUGACCCCGUAACUUAGGGAUAAGGGGUGCCACCAUCAGGUGGCCGCAGAGAAUAGGCCCAAGCGACUGUUUACCAAAAACAUAGGUUUCUGCUAAGUCGCAAGACGAUGUAUAGGAGCUGACGCCUGCCCGGUGCUGGAAGGUUAAGGGGAUCUGUUAGAGCAAUCGAAGCAGUGAACUUAAGCCCCAGUAAACGGCGGCCGUAACUAUAACGGUCCUAAGGUAGCGAAAUUCCUUGUCGGGUAAGUUCCGACCCGCACGAAAGGCGUAACGAUUUGGGCACUGUCUCAACAACAGACUCGGUGAAAUUGUAAUUCCGGUGAAGAUGCCGGAUACCUGCGACAGGACGGAAAGACCCCAUGGAGCUUUACUGUAGCUUGACAUUGGGUUUUGGUACUACAUGUACAGGAUAGGUGGGAGGCUUUGAAACCAGGACGCCAGUUUUGGCGGAGCCAUCCUUGGGAUACCACCCUUGUAGUACUGGGACUCUAACCAUAGGCCAUGAAUCUGGUCUUGGGACACUGUCAGGUGGGCAGUUUGACUGGGGCGGUCGCCUCCCAAAAGGUAACGGAGGCGCUCAAAGGUUCUCUCAGAAUGGUUGGAAAUCAUUCAUAGAGUGUAAAGGCAUAAGGGAGCUUGACUGCGAGACUUACAAGUCGAGCAGGGUGAAAAUCGGACUUAGUGAUCCGGUGGUUCUGCGUGGAAGGGCCAUCGCUCAACGGAUAAAAGCUACCCUGGGGAUAACAGGCUUAUCUCCCCCAAGAGUCCACAUCGACGGGGAGGUUUGGCACCUCGAUGUCGGCUCAUCACAUCCUGGGGCUGUAGUAGGUCCCAAGGGUUGGGCUGUUCGCCCAUUAAAGUGGUACGCGAGCUGGGUUCAGAACGUCGUGAGACAGUUCGGUCCCUAUCCGUCGCAGGCGUAGGAAAUUUGAGAAGACCUGUCCUUAGUACGAGAGGACCGGGAUGGACGUACCUCUGGUGUACCAGUUGUUCUGCCAAGGGCAUGGCUGGGUAGCUAUGUACGGAAUGGAUAAGCGCUGAAAGCAUCUAAGCGCGAAGCCAACUUCAAGAUAAGAUUUCCCACCGCAAGGGUAAGAUCCCAGAAAGACUAUCUGGUUGAUAGGUCGAAGGUGUAAGUGCAGCAAUGUAUUUAGCUUAUCGAUACUAAUAGGUCGAGGACUUGACCAA